rnacentral:rRNA from 1 species
UACGUAGGCACCAAGCGUUGUCCGGAUUUAUUGGGCGUAAAGAGCUCGUAGGCGGUUUGUCACGUCGGAUGUGAAACCCCGGGGCUUAACUCCGGGCCUGCAUUCGAUACGGGCUGACUAGAGUUCGGCAGGGGAGACUGGAAUUCCUGGUGUAGCGGUGAAAUGCGCAGAUAUCAGGAGGAACACCGGUGGCGAAGGCGGGUCUCUGGGCCGAUACUGACGCUGAGGAGCGAAAGCGUGGGGAGCAAACAGG